ensembl:lncRNA
AUGUUCCUGAGUUGUAUCCCGCGAUGCCCAAGCCCAGCCCCCAAGAAACCCUGCGGUGGGUGCCUCGCCCAGUGGUGGGGACGCUGGGCCAGCCCUCACCCCCGACGCUCCUGGUGCUUCCAACAGAAAACGGCCAUGGGCCAGGACAGGUCAGCCUCGCGCCUGGCAAUGCACAGAAGGCUGCGGAUCGCCAGCAGGCAGGACGUGUGUCAGGCCCCUUUCACUGAUGACCUGUGUGUGGUGGGGGAGUGGUCAAACGAGCCCACAGCUCCGAAGCCCCCGUACCGGGCGUUCCCCGGCACACAGAAACCACUGGACGUCCCCCUCAGUCACACACUGUUGGUCAGAGCCCAGAUAGAGCCCAGGGGCUCCGCAAAUGCCCAUCUCACAGCGGAGGAAGUAGGGCCCGUUGACUUCGCCUGUGUCAGUCGUGACCCAGGGUCAGGGCCGGGCCUGGCACCUGACCUCACGGCUGGGGCGGCACAGAGCCCUGAUCUCCCAACAACACCCCCGCUGGAGCAGUGCUGGUCCUCCAUCGAUCAGCGCCACCACAAGGAUGCGCGGGGGACAGCUGUGUCCCCGGGGGCCGAGCAGGGCUCAGGGGAGGCCCUGAGAGAAGAGGCUCUGGGGAUGGAGGGUCUGGAGCCAGGACUGUACGCAGCAGCUGAAGCCGAGGACGCUGCAGGGGCACCAGACGCAGCACUGGCCCCGGCCUCAGCCCCAGCUCCGCAAGUCCCUUCUGCUGCAGCCCCAGUGCCACACCUGGCCUUCCCCGCCCCCGUCGUCCUGUAUUUCUCUUUACUCCUCCCCACUCUCUUCCUUUUCUCCACCUUAUUGUCCCUGAACCUCAAUAAAAUGUAAGUUGUUACCCACUGUGGAAUGUACAAUUUGCACCGUGCCAGCUCCCCAGGCCGUGCCCUCCCCACCCCACUCUCCCUGCACCAUGGCUCCAAUGCCCGGGACCUGCAUCCUCUGCAGAGGACACGGGCACCUCCCCAGGGGCAGAGCCAACGUUCCCCGUUUGGACAAAGAGCACCACACGCUGGGAAGGCCAAGGGAAGCAAGGAACAGGGAGACGCUGGCAUGGCUGGGGCAGCGCCUCCUCAUGCUCAGGGACGCAGACUCUGAGGUCACAGAACGCACCUGCCGGGGGUGCUGUCCCCGCAGCCUCAGUGUCCUCAUCUGUGCAAUGGGAAGGCAGCCCUGCCACAGCCAUCACCGCAUCAGGGAAUGCGAUGCUCUGCACCUCCCUGCACACAAUGGGAGCCCCCAGCUUCCAGGAUGAGGGGUGCACAGGGAGUGGGUUGGGGGCUUCCACGGAGGGAACACAAUCCGUCCAGGGACACACACAAACAACACCUGUCACAGGCUCUGGCCCUGUGCUCAACAACGGGUCACUGACAGACGGAUCACAGCAGGGAUGUGCUCACUGCACAGGAGACAGGGGGGCCUUGUCCAGGACCCCACGUGACCCAGACUGCCCGCUGUGCAGGCCACAUGGGUGGGUCUCGGCUGGGAAGAUGGAGACACAGAGCAUGUCCCCAAGGACGGGGGCUGCUCCUUCCCCGAGCUCCUGGGAUUUCCGGGUCCCUGGCCACGUCCACCAGGCACCUUGUCUCAGCCAUGGGGUGACACUGGCUUCACUCCCAUUGGCAGAUGAGGAACCCCCUGAGAGGGAGGCCCCGCCCAGGUCAGGGCUGUGCCGAUCCCAGAAGAGGACUCCCCUCCCCACGGGAGCCCGGACUCUGGGACCCUAUGGGCCUGUGGGCCAGCAAGAGGGCAGCACAGCAGGGAGCACAGGGGUCAGGAACGCUAUGACUUUCUCCAACAGAUCACACCCUGAAGAUUUUCUGAUCGAAUGCCUCAGAUGUUCUACUAGGGCUGAGGGGUGCCUGUGGAGGAGGAAGCCGGGGCCCUGGGGGGCUGACCUGUGUGUGUUCCUGGGAAUGGCCUGCAUCACACCCAGUGACAUCACUGUCCCCCCACAGUCCUUCUGCAACAUGUCAAGGAUCACCACCAUGCUCCGCCCUGCACACCUGUCCAGUGGAACCCAGGCGCAGUCCACCUGCAGUUAGUGAUGGUCUUAGGUGCACGUGACAGCAGCGUCCCUGGGCGUUCCAUUGCACAGCUCUGGCAUGGAGAAGACCAGAGAUCUGUGCUCCCCACACUGGCCUGCCGCAGGGAGGGGGCCCAUGGCAGGGCGCUGAGCUGAGACAUCAACAUUCAGAACCAAGGGAAUGAGGUCAGGCUCCUUGCAGGCCCACAGCCCAAGGCCAGAUCACGACCACCCUUGGGGCUUUCGGGAAUGCAGGAGGCUCUUCCUGCCAACGACCUGCCACACAGGACGUGACAGCACACGGCUAGCUUCCCGUCCCACUCUGUACGUCCUGGGUGUGCUAAGCCUAGAUUGACAGCGUCACUUUUCCCAGGUACAUUCAUGUGCUCCUGGGUCAGCAUGCAAAAGUGCUUUCCGAAAGUUCAGAGUCAUCUCUCAUCCUGAGCAUUCUUGCCCUGUGCCCACCUACUGCCCCACAUGCUGACUAGGAGACCCGCUCAGGCCCCUCCCCUCCGGGUCAUCUGCACUCUCAGGCUUCAUGUUCUGCUGUAUUCACCCGCCCCGCACUUCUAAAUGCCCGCAAGACUUUCCCAGUGUCACAUGCCAACCAUGACACAGGACAGGCUUCUCCAGUACCAGCCUGGCUCGUUCCCAUCAUUCCUUGUUUCUGCCUGCUUUUCCCCAUCGCCCGAGUCCUGCACAUCCUCUCCUUCUGAGUGUCACCUCCCUACCUGCACGUGCCCUCAGGACAGCUCAAUUCCACCUACAGCAUGAAAAAGCCACCUCCAACAGGGAUCCUGAGCUCUGAUGGAGGUCGGGAAGGUAGACUCGGGCACCUGUUACAACGUGGAUUCCCCCUUCUCUGAUUCAGGGGUCCUGAGAGGCAGAACAUCCUUUCACAGGAACCCCUGGAAGGUUUUCCGCCACCUAGGCCCAUGGGGCUGGCGCUGUGGCCCACAGGCUAAAGCCCCACCUGCAGGGCUGGCAUCCCACAUCAGAACCCCGGUUCUGCUCCUGGAGCCCUGCUUUCAUUCCAGCUCCCUGCUCACACACCUGGCAGAGCAGCACAAGUUGACCCAAGUGCCCCCGGCCCUGCCACCUGUGUGCCAGGCCCAGAAGGUGUUCCAGGCUCCUGGCUUCAGCCUGACUCAGCCUCAGCCAGCAUGGGCUUCUGGGAGAUUAAAUCAGCAAUUCAGAGUCAUCCUUCUGGAUCUCUCUCCCUGUCCCUUCCUCCAACUCUGCCUUUCAAGUCAACAACUGAAAAGAAGAAGAGAAGAGAAGAGAAGAGAAGAGAAGAGAAGAGAAGAGAAGAGAAGAGAAGAGAAGAGAAGAGAAGAGAAGAGAAGGGAGAGGGGAGGGGAGAGAAGAGAAGAGAAGAGAAAAGAGAGGGAAGGGAAGGGAAGGGAAGGGAAGGGAAGGGAAGGGAAGGGAAGGGAAGGGAAGGGAAGGGAAGGGAAGGGAAGGGACAAGACGACAUCCUGGGGCGGCGCUGUGGCAUAGUAGGUUGAACAUCUGCCUAUGACAUCGAGAUACCAUAUGGGCACCGGUUGGAGUCCCAGCUGCUCCACUUCCAAUGCAGCUCUCUGCUAAGACACGAGAAGGCAGUGGAACAUGGGCCAUGGACUUGGCCCCCUUAUCCACGUGGUAGACCCAGAAGAAGCUCCUGGCUCCUGGCUUUGGAUCAGCUCAGCACCGGCUGUUGUGGCCCUUUGGGGAGUGACCCAUUGGAUCAAAGACCUCUCUGUCUCUCUUUCUCCCUCUCUCUCUCCCUCUCUCUGUCUCUCUUGCCUCUUUCUCUCCUGUCACUCUGCCAGUGAAGUAAAUAAAUCAAUCUUAACAACAACA